CCUCCAGUUGACCUCAUUGUGUCUCCAGUUGACCCCAUUGGGUCUCCAGUUGUCCAUGUUGGGUCUCCAGUUGACCCCAUUGACCCCCUUGGGUCUCCAGUUAACCCCGUUGGGCCUCCAGUUGACCCCAUUCGGUCUCCAGUUGACCCCAUUGGGUCUCCAGUUGACCCCAUUCGGUCCCCAGUAGACCCUGUUGACCCCAUUGGGUCUCCAGUUGACCUCACUGGGUCUCCAGUUGACCCCAUUGGGUCUCCAGUGGACCCUGUUGACCCCAUUGUGUUUCCAAUUGACCCCGUUGGGUCUCCAGUUGACCCCGUUGGGUCUCCAGUUGACCCCACUGACCCCACUGGGCCUUCCGUUGCCCUCAUUGGCCAUCUCUUAUCCUCUCCCCCCCCCCCAGUUCAACAGCUUCGAGCAGCUCUGCAUCAACUUCACCAACGAGAAGCUGCAGCAGUUCUUCAACCACCAUAUGUUCGUGCUGGAGCAGGAGGAGUACAAGAAGGAAGGCAUCGAGUGGGAGUUCAUCGACUUUGGCAUGGACCUCCAGGCCUGCAUCGACCUCAUCGAGAAGCCCAUGGGGAUCAUGUCCAUCCUGGAGGAGGAGUGCAUGUUCCCCAAGGCCUCGGACAUGACCUUCAAGGCCAAGCUCUACGACAACCACCUGGGGAAGUCGGGCAACUUCGGGAAGCCCCGCAAUGUCAAGGGCAAGACGGAAGCCCACUUCUCCCUGGUCCACUACGCAGGGACGGUGGACUACAACAUCAUCGGCUGGCUGGAGAAGAACAAGGACCCCCUCAACGAGACGGUGGUGGGGCUCUACCAGAAGUCGGCCCUCAAGCUCCUGGCCAGCCUCUUCUCCAGCUACGCCGGGGCGGAUUCGGGUGGGUGGAGGGGUGGAGGGGUGGAUGGAUGGAUGGAGAUGGUUGGAGAUGUUUCAGAACCUCUAGGGAUGGAUGGAUGGACAGAUGGAUGGAUGGAGAUGUUUGGAGAUGUUUUAGAACCCCUAGGGAUGGCUGGACGGAUGGAUGGAUGAUGGAUGGAUGGAGAAGCCCCCUCAGAGAUCCUCCCCCUGGUUCCCUUCCCCCUUCUCCUCCCUCCAGGUGGCGACGGAGGGAAGGGGAAAGGAGCCAAGAAGAAGGGCUCCUCCUUCCAGACCGUCUCGGCCCUGCAUCGGGUGAGGACCCGGAGGUCCACGGGGCAGGGGGAACCUCGGGACAUGGUGGGGGUGGGCGG
rnacentral:lncRNA from 1 species